AAAAGGGGAAUGCUGCGAGUGUAGCAUUGCUUUGAUCACAUGCAUAUGGUGCCUGGCCAGCCAGCACGUCGAUGACUCCCAACAGCAGCACUAAAGGCAGCAACGCGUCUUUGCAGAUCUGGGUGCACCACUCAAGAAGAAAUCUGUAGCCACUCAUUGGUUGAAGGAGAAUCUCCACUGAGGCAUGAUAUAUCGCUUCUGCGAGCUGACUGAGACGAGCGUGAGCUCCGCGAGCUCUGAUAUACGAGAUAAGAUUGCUGAAUCAUUUAUCAUAUCCGUUGCUUCCUCGGCUCACUCCAUCCCAGGAUAAGAAGAGCAGGAAGAGAAGAAGAGGACGCCUCAAUUCUCCUCUCUACAAGCACCGGCCACGGAGAGCGAGCAAAAAGAAUACGACGAGGAUUGAAACAAAACAGUGCACACAAAGUUCCACGCCAAAACGAUCAAGCUCUGUAGAAGUAAGCUCCUCCUUGUCUCGCUCCCGCUCCUUUCAGCAUUGCAUUUAUAACCAAGUUCUCACUUUCUCUUCACAGGCUCUCUCUCUCUCUCUCUCUCUCUCUCUCUCUCUCACUUUCACUUCACGCUCUCGCGACUCGACUCGGCCGAUCUACGUUCUCCCAAUCCCGAUUUAUUCUCGCGCUCGCUCGAUGCCAAAGGCCAGUCUGCCAAGUUUAUAUUUUCAUUCUCUCACUUUUUUGCUCAGUGCUCUGAUCGUUCUUACAAGAAGUGGUAAUAAGCA